UCUUCCCUCUUUCCUCGUGCCUCCUCCCUGCACGUCGAGCGCACGGACGAGAAGCUUGCUUCUCUGAUGUUAGCGGCGGACGGGUGAGUAACACGUGGAUAACCUACCUAUAAGACUGGGAUAACUUCGGGAAACCGGAGCUAAUACCGGAUAAUAUUUUGAACCGCAUGGUUCAAAAGUGAAAGACGGUCUUGCUGUCACUUAUAGAUGGAUCCGCGCUGCAUUAGCUAGUUGGUAAGGUAACGGCUUACCAAGGCAACGAUGCAUAGCCGACCUGAGAGGGUGAUCGGCCACACUGGAACUGAGACACGGUCCAGACUCCUACGGGAGGCAGCAGUAGGGAAUCUUCCGCAAUGGGCGAAAGCCUGACGGAGCAACGCCGCGUGAGUGAUGAAGGUCUUCGGAUCGUAAAACUCUGUGAUUAGGGAAGAACAUAUGUGUAAGUAACUGUGCACAUCUUGACGGUACCUAAUCAGAAAGCCACGGCUAACUACGUG
rnacentral:rRNA from 1 species